rnacentral:rRNA from 1 species
AACGAACGCUGUCGGCAUGCCUAACACAUGCAAGUCGAACGAACCCUUCGGGGUUAGUGGCGCACGGGUGCGUAACGCGUGGGAAUCUGCCCUUUGCUUCGGAAUAACUCAGGGAAACUUGUGCUAAUACCGGAUGAUGUCUUCGGACCAAAGAUUUAUCGACAAGGAAUGAUCCCGCGUAGGAUUAGGUAUUGGGUUGGGUAAAGGCCUACCAAGCCGACGAUCCUUAGCUGGUCUGAGAGGAUGAUCAGCCACACUGGGACUGAGACACGGCCCAGACUCCUACGGGAGGCAGCAGUGGGGAAUAUUGGACAAUGGGCGCAAGCCUGAUCCAGCAAUGCCGCGUGAGUGAUGAAGGCACUCGGGUCGUAAAGCUCUUUUAACAGGGAUGAUAAUGACAGUACCUGGAGAAUAAGCUCCGGCUAACUCCGUG